CGCGCCAUCAGUAGAUGGGAGUAAUGCUCACCAUGGGACGACGGUAGCCGCCUGAAAGGUGACCGCCACAUGGGAUUGAGCCACGCCCCAGAUUCUUCGGGAGGCAGCAGUGGGAAUAUUGCACAAUGGGCGCAAGCCUGAUGCAGCAACGCCGGGUGAGGGAUGACGGCCUUCGGGUUGUAAACUUCUUUUAGUAGGGAAGAAGCGAAAGUGACGGUACCUGCAGAAAAAGCACCGGCUAACUACGUGCCAGCAGCCGCGGUAAUACGUAGGGUGCAAGCGUUGUCCGGAAUUAUUGGGCGUAAAGAGCUCGUAGGCGGCUUGUCGCGUCUGCUGUGAAAUCCCGGGGCUCAACCCCGGGCCUGCAGUGGGUACGGGCAAGCUAGAGUGCGGUAGGGGAGAUUGGAAUUCCUGGUGUAGCGGUGGAAUGCGCAGAUAUCAGGAGGAACACCGAUGGCGAAGGCAGAUCUCUGGGCCGCUACUGACGCUGAGGAGCGAAAGCAUGGGGAGCGAACAGGAUUAGAUACCCUGGUAGUCCAUGCCGUAAACGUUGGGAACUAGAUGUAGGGCCUGUUCCACGGGUUCUGUGUCGUAGCUAACGCAUUAAGUUCCCCGCCUGGGGAGUACGGCCGCAAGGCUAAAACUCAAAGGAAUUGACGGGGGCCCGCACAAGCGGCGGAGCAUGCGGAUUAAUUCGAUGCAACGCGAAGAACCUUACCAAGGCUUGACAUAACCGAGAACGCUGUAGAGAUACAGAACUCUUUGGACACUCGGUUACAGGUGGUGCAUGGUUGUCGUCAGCUCGUGUCGUGAGAUGUUCGGUUAAGUCCGGCAACGAGCGCAACCCUCGUCCUAUGUUGCCAGCACGUUAUGGUGGGAACUCAUGGGAUACUGCCGUGGUCAACACGGAGGAAGGUGGGGAUGACGUCAAAUCAUCAUGCCCCUUAUGUCUUGGG
rnacentral:rRNA from 1 species